UGCCGGAUUGUGUAAUGGUAGCACUACUGACUCUGACUCAGUCUGUCUGGGUUCAAAUCCUAGUCCGGCAGCCA
rnacentral:tRNA from 1 species